AUGUUGAACUCCUCGCUGGAGAUUAAGGACCUGCUUCGUGUCAGUGUGAACUACAACCCAGCUCACUUUGGCAGCGGUACCAAACUAACAGUUUUAGUCAGUACUUCAAUCUUGUCAUACACCCGUGCUCUGUGCUCGACCGAUAAGGCAGUGUUUGGACCAGGCACAAAACUCACUGUUUUGGAAAAAGACAUUCCCAUCACUGCUCCCUCUGUGAAGGUGUUUCCUCCAUCUGGAGGUGAAAUCUGUGACAAGAACGUUCGGAAGACAAGGAAGUCAGUGACCCUGCUGUGUGUGGCUUCAGGCUUUUACCCUGACCAUGUCACUGUGCUCUGGCAGAUCAAUGGAGAGAAUCAAACCAAAGGAGUGGGCACAGACGAGAAUGCCUUACGUGCUGCAGAUAAAACUUACAGCAUCACAAGCAGGCUCAGAAUCCCAAUCAAGACAUGGGGGGAUCCUAAAACCGAGAUCACCUGCAAGGUCUGGUUUUUUAAUGAGACAUACUCAGACUAUUAUGAAGGCUCCAUAGGCGGAGGAAAAGUGCCUGGCAUGGUUGACCCAGAUACAUUGGUGAAGUCGGCUCAAACUGCCAAGUUUGCCUACAGCAUUUUUAUUGCUAAGAGUUGCCUGUUUGGACUCUUCAUCUGUUUUUUUAUCUGGAAGACUUCUCGAGGCUCAAAUGAGAAGUGGUAGACACAAAGACGGGAGGAAGUCCGGAGGAGGACAGGAAGUCCGAAGGAGGACAGGAAGUCCUCGGGAUUCCUACAGUACGGCUCCAAAGUGUGACGAGAUGAUUCUGUGACUCUUUAUUUUUCAACAACAUACAUUUUAUUUUUUUGUAGCAUCAUUAAUCUUUUUAAAAUUCUUUAAAUGUUCCUUAUACAUUUCUAAAGAGUUUAAUUAGAGAAGUCUGCACACUCCUGGGUAGUUUGAUUCCUUCAUGUCAAUGACAUUUCAACCUGCUGGUGUUCCUCAGACUCUAGACUGGUCAGUAGUGAAUAUGAAGGACACUAGUCUGGACGGAUCAGUAGUGAAUCUGAGGAAGACCAGCAGGUCGAAAUGUCAUUUAAACCAAACAUAAGAAGAUAAAGCAAGCAAACUACCAGGGAGUGUGCAGACUUCUUUAUAAACAUUUUGGAAUGUCCUUUUCUUUACCUGGGACGUGCACAAAGACUCUCUCUAAGUGUCCUUAUACAUUUCUGUCAUCUGAAAUCAUUGACCAUUUAUACAAUCAAGUGCUCAAAAUGUAAAAAUGUUGCUCCUUUUUUUCUCAUGUAAUCUGAUAGGCUGACGUGCUACUGUGAGGAGUUGUGUAGUACCAGAUUAAUGAAAAUGUAACAUUUGAGUUUAUUGAUUUUUCUUUUUUCACCUUAGAACUUAGUAUUUACAUGACUUUAUACUGUAUAUCAUUAUCCUGUAUAUUAUUUCUUGCCAUCAUCAAAUAAAAUGAACUAUUGAAGAAAACCAC